rnacentral:pre_miRNA from 1 species
CUGUACCAUCUGCUUGGCCAAUUUUGGCACUAGCACAUUUUUGCUUGUGUCUCCGCUCUGAGCAAUCAUGUGCAGUGCCAAUAUGGGAAAAGCGGACCG